AUCGCUUCUCGGCCUUUUGGCUAAGAUCAAGUGUAGUAGAGAAGCCCAACCAGGGCAAGGUGAUGGAGUGUGUCGCCUCUGACCCAAC
rnacentral:snRNA from 1 species